CCUAAGGUAGCGAAAUUCCUUGUCAGGUAAGUUCUGACCCGCACGAAAGGCGUAAUGAUUUGGGCGCUGUCUCGGCAGCAGACUCGGUGAAAUCUUAGUACCUGUGAAGAUGCAGGUUACCCGCAACUAGACGGAAAGACCCCAUGGAGCUUUACUGUAGCCUGAUAUUGAGUUUUGAUCAAGUAUGUACAGGAUAGGUGGGAGACGAAGAAGUUGGGACGUCAGUUUCAAUGGAGUCGACGUUGGGAUACCACUCUUAGUUGAUUGAAAUUCUAACCUGUAUCCAUGAGCUGGGUAAGGGACAGUGUCAGGUGGGCAGUUUGACUGGGGCGGUCGCCUCCUAAAGAGUAACGGAGGCGCCCAAAGGUACCCUCAGAUUGGUUGGAAAUCAAUCGACGAGCGCAAAUGCAGAAGGGUGCUUGACUGCAAGACAGACAAGUCGAGCAGGGACGAAAGUCGGGAUUAGUGAUCCGGCGGUGCAGAAUGGAAUGGCCGUCGCUUAACGGAUAAAAGCUACCCUGGGGAUAACAGGCUGAUCUCGCCCAAGAGUUCACAUCGACGGCGAGGUUUGGCACCUCGAUGUCGGCUCAUCGCAUCCUGGAGCUGAAUUCGGUUCCAAGGGUUGGGCUGUCCGCCCAUUAAAGCGGUACGCGAGCUGGGUUCAGAACGUCGUGAGACAGUUCGGUCCCUAUCUGUUGUGGGCGUAGGAAAUUUGAGGAGAGCUGUCCUUAGUACGAGAGGACCGGGAUGGACCCACCGCUGGUGCACCAGUUGUAUCGCCAGAUGCAUAGCUGGGUAGCUAAGUGGGGAACGGAUAAACGCUGAAGGCAUCUAAGCGUGAAACCGACUCCGAGAUGAGAUUUCCCAUUUCCAAGAGAAAGUAAGACCCCUUGAAGACGACGAGGUAGAUAGGUCAGAGAUGGAAGCACAGCGAUGUGUGGAGUUGACUGAUACUAAUCGGUCGAGGAUUUAAUCAC
rnacentral:rRNA from 1 species